rnacentral:rRNA from 1 species
GACGAACGCUGGCGGCGUGCUUAACACAUGCAAGUCGAACGGAAAGGCCCUGCUUUUGUGGGGUGCUCGAGUGGCGAACGGGUGAGUAACACGUGAGUAACCUGCCCUUGACUUUGGGAUAACUUCAGGAAACUGGGGCUAAUACCGGAUAGGAGCUCCUGCUGCAUGGUGGGGGUUGGAAAGUUUCGGCGGUUGGGGAUGGACUCGCGGCUUAUCAGCUUGUUGGUGGGGUAGUGGCUUACCAAGGCUUUGACGGGUAGCCGGCCUGAGAGGGUGACCGGCCACAUUGGGACUGAGAUACGGCCCAGACUCCUACGGGAGGCAGCAGUGGGGAAUAUUCACAAUGGGCGGAAGCCUGAUGCAGCAACGCCUCGUGCGGGAUGACGGCCUUCGGGUUGUAAACCGCUUUCGCCUGUGACGAAGCGUGAGUGACGGUAAUGGGUAAAGAAGCACCGGCUAACUACGUG